GCUUGGUCCCCCCGCAACAAUUCGCUACGAACCCCGCCAGGCCCGGAAGGGAGCAACGGUAGUAGUAUAAUUGUGUGCCGGGGUGUGGCUGGGUUGG
rnacentral:SRP_RNA from 1 species